ensembl:snRNA U6 U6 spliceosomal RNA
AUACUUUCAAAAUGUAAUGGGUGUUCUUACUAAAAUUGGAAUGAUACAGAGAAGGUUAACAUGGCCCCAACAUACAGAUGAUACACAAAUUCAUGAAGGGUUCCAUACUUUU